ensembl:lncRNA
GGGGUAACAUACUUUUUCUAAGAAAAGUUCUAAAGUUGAAAUAUUGGACCCAGUCCCAAGCUAAUGGCAUGAAAUGAGGAUGAGACAAAGGUAACAUCAACCAAAAAGAGUUACUCAAAGGAUUACAUUUCACUGCUUCCCUGUUGAAGUGAAGAGAGAAACGUUCCAUUCUGGCCCACCUUUGAAAAAGUUAUUUUGCCCCAUGGAUUCCUUGUUCAUUUAGAAAAUCCUGGGGCAGGUGACCCAUAGUCUUAAAGACCAGACUAAUCACUGCAGAGAUUGGUUGCUAUUUUGCCUUUCAUCAGCUGCAAGAUUUACAUAAAAAAUCACUUAAGCUGGAAUUCAACAAAAGGAGAAAUGUGGAGCAGAUGCAGACACAGGGAGAACUCUUUGUGAAGAUGAAGGCAGAGAUCAGGGUGAGGUUUCUACACACCAAGGAACUCCAGUGAUCACCAGCAGACCACCAGAAGCUGAGGAAGAGACGUGGGAGCAAUCUUCUCUGCACAGCCAGAAGGAACCAACCUUGCUGAUACCUUGGUCUUAGACAUCUGGCCUCCAGAACCAUGAC